UCCACUUUUUCUUUCUGUUUCUUCAGUGUCCACCCCUAACGGCUUACUCUUUUAAGUCCAGACUCUGCAUAUCUUACUUCCCAGUAGAAAGGGAAAUGAAAUUCUCUCUGUGGGUCUGCAGAAUUAGAACUCCUUAUGUGUACAGGGGAAAGCCUGAGUGCGGAUGUGCUUUUUAAAACAUCUUGAGGGCAUCGUGCCGACGAAGCCCUCAAGGGAGUGUGCACACGUAUUUGCUGAUGUUUCCAGGAGCUGAAGGUAAUAAAACUUUGAACUAAGCAGCAGCUCCAGCCCUGACACUUGUGAAGUUUGUGAAUAUUUCCAUAUUUCCUGGCACUUUUUGCACCUUCAGAGUUUACAGAAUAAACUCUUGUCCUUCAGGUCACACUGACACGAGUGAAGUCACAAAGCUGCAUUAUGCUCAGUGUCAUAUCUUAUUUGGCUCUUGGAUGCUACUUAGCAAGACUCCUGUCCAAAUGGCAGGCAAUGGUGAGCAAGGCAAUUAGGGAGAUUGGUUUAGCAUGCAUGAUUUCAUUUUCUGCUUCCUACGGUGAGAGAUGAAGGGACCAAGAUAACCAAAUUUGACUUAGUAAAAUUUAGACAUCAAUUUUUCAGAUUGUUUUUGUGUUGUAACAGCACUUACGAUAAAUUUAAACUUCAUUAUUUUUUAAAAUAACUAUUUCAGAAGACUUUUACAGGUAUGUGAAAUCUCCUUGUCUUUUCUCAAGGUCUCUUUAUCUUUUCUAUGUUAGUUUAUUGUCUAAAAAGAUUUAAAAAAUGCAUCAACCUUUCAAAUAAUAUCUUUUUUGAGCCUUUUUGUGUAUUUGGUGUUCUGUUACAUCAAUUUGUUCAUUAAUUUUAGGUUGGUUCAUUUCAUUGCUGUUAUUUUAAUGUCAUAUAUUAAAAUGCCACCAAAUAAUAACCUUGAACAAAAAAUGUAUGGCUGAAACAGCUCUGGUAUUUGCUGGAUAUUGAUUCCCUAAUUGGAUUAAAGUCUGUCUUUGACAGGAUUCCAAGAAAACAAGAAACAGCUCAUGAUUCACAACUGACUGGAUCUCCUCCCAGUGACCAUGGGUGAUGCUCAUUCAUUCAGCAAACUCUGAUUAAGGGUUUUGGUGGGCCUGGCUCAUGCUGUUGCCAUUGCCGCUGCAGCUGUAUUGUUGGUAUAGUUAUAGGACAAGUUGACAGGAGGAGAGGCAUGAGUCUUGGGAUUUGUUCCAGUCUGCCCAAAGGAGAAAGAAAAGCCCUUGCAAACUGCUGGGAGAGCUCAAGGGGCAUGAGGCUCAAGGAAGGGUGCUGAGGCUCCCAGGUGCUGUCACGUGAGCGUCGAUGAGGGUGACUUCUGGGCUCCCAGGUGGCUGUCAGGUGAGCGUCGAUGAGGGUGACAUCUGGAACGGUAGCUGAUGGUCUCUGAGGCACUGGGUGAUGUCAGAGGCACUGUGGGCCCUUUGUUGACAAGGUCAGUGCAGAUACUCAGAUGGCAUGAUCACAGUGCUUCGUUCAGAAAGGAUAGAUUGCUGGCAUUUCUUGCCUACUGCUGGCUGCUUUUGCCUUUCUUGUGCUUUAAUAUUGGUUUUAGACUUUAUUUAAGUGCGUGUGUAUACAGAUGGCCCUGUGGGGUCUCAGAUCACUUGGAACUGGGUUUAUGAGAGGUUGUUAGUCUGUAAUUGUGGUGGGCACCACACUACAGCCUUCUGCAAGAGGGGCGCUCACUUUUAAUGGUUGAACCAUCUCUCUUGACGCUGUCUAUGCUUUUCAAUGAGAAGUCUUGGGGACUGAGAAAACCAAGUUAGCAUGGAACACUCUUGUGUUCCUCCAUGGCCAUCUGUACAGCUACCCUGGUGUCCACAUCCCAGCUGGGCCUUCUGCACCGGGGAACAAACAUUAUGAACAUUUGCAAGUGCUUUUAGGUAACUAGGUAACUUUACUUAAUCCUUACAACAACACUAUGAGCUGGACAUACUAUCGGCAUUUCAUCAAAGGUCAGAGAAGUUACAUCUCAGAAGCAGGGAAGUUUGGCAUUCUAAAGUGUAUGCAGUUGUGGCUAAUUGAAAACAUUCCCAUUGGGAUCCUCAUUACAUGGGUGGGAGGUCAGCUGAGUUACUCUGUCCAGAACACACUGAAGCCUAGCUCUCUUUCCCUGGGCAUUAACUGCUGAGAGGCAGCACAGGGGUGAUACGACCAGGGACUGAGCACCCCCAGUAACCUUCACACUGCUAAGGGUUAGAAAUCUGCUCAUUUCUUGUCAGCACCAAAGCUUGCAGGACUCUAGAGAAACAGCAGUGCUGUGAAGCUCUGGGUACCUUGGCUUUCUUGUGCUCUGUUAACUUCCAUGUUCAUCUUUGUUCAAGAGGCUGAAGGAGCAUCAGCAUCUGGCUGGCUUGUGGAGACAAAGCGUCUUACAGAGAAGACUGCGGGUGAAGUUUUGCUAAUAAGCAGCAGAAAUGAAAAGAUGAUGCAGAUUUUUGACAUCUGAAGAAGGAGGAGGGAUGUGUCAGAACCAGACUGGAGCAAGUAGCAGAGCUGAGCUGCAUUUCCUCCAAGGUGAUCCUGCAGUAUUUUGUCCUUUUAUUUUCUGGCAAAGUCACAGAUACUUCGUGGACUCUUGAUAACUCUUCUCUUUUCAAGUGUCACCGAAUUCCUGAAAAUUCAAAAUGAUUUAGAAAUAUUGGUUGAGAGUUUCAAGUGUAGAGGUUGGCAAAAUAAACCACCUUUCUAGA